GGAAUUAAACUAGCCACAUGAUUGCGUGCAUCUGUUUCUAUGUUUUGCUGCUUGCCUUCAUAGUGACAACUACGACAUAAGUAGCCUACUGUAGGUUUGCAUUGAUAGUUCUUAAAAAUGACUGCAACUACUUUCCGACUGUUGAACUUAGUUAUUGAUGUCGUUGUUCUAUCAGUUUAGUGACGACAAGGCAUUGGAGCAUAAACCAGCUUUCAGAACCGCGAAGAAAAUUGAGACUAUGGAAAAGUUGGGGAGACACCAAUCACAGCAACCCAGUGCAGUCAAGGAGCAAGGUCCCAGAUCACAGAGACACGGCCUUCCCAGAUGGAGGACGCAGCAUGGACUUACAAAGCAUAUGCAUAACAGGUCAUAUUCAUGAGAAAUAUUGAAUGAAAAGCUGUACAUAAACAGGCUGACCCAGUUCUGAGGGACAGUAAUGAUAUUAUUCAAUUGGUAACAGUGUCCUGUCCUGUACUGUCAAGUAAAGAUAUCUUUGUACUGAAGGACAAUGGCAAGAAAGCAUGUUGACUUUCACAGUUUACAAUAACUGAAAACCACAGAUGUCAAGAGGAAAGUCUUACUCAACAUAAAGAAAAGAUCCUGAUCAAUCUG